UGGCUCAAAUGGUAAAGCGUCUGCCUACAAUGCGGGAGACCCAGGUUCAAUCCCUGG
rnacentral:tRNA from 1 species